GCCAUUUUGCAUAAAAACCCCUCAACUUUUAAUCCUAUACACUUCCCUUACUGGGCAGAAUUCGCGCGGAGGGACCGGUCUCCCCGACUUGGGACCGGUCCCUGAGGGCCUCCCUCGGGUGCACGCGUUUGGGAACAGGUCUCUCCCCGGGAGACCGGUCCUCGAGAGACCGGUCCUCGCCUGAGAGACCGCUCCCCGAGAGCUCGAUUUUCAGGACUUAGCCAAAUUUCGGCAUUUCUCGCUGGGACCACGUUCGGGAACCGGUCCCUCCCUGCCAGGGACCGGUUGCAUCAAGCAACCCCGCUACACCCAACCAAGGGAACCGGUCUCUC
rnacentral:lncRNA from 1 species